ACCUGGCUGGCUCAGUUGGUAGAGCAUGUGACUCUUGAUCUUGGGGUCAUGAGUUUGAGCCUCAUGGGUG
rnacentral:tRNA from 1 species